CAUUACUGCAUCGCAUCAAUUUUGGGUUGUCCGCGUCGCGUCAAUUUUCCGCUUUGACAACAUAGACAACACUACAGCAUAGUGCUAUUUUUCACGAUCUACGAUUGACAACACUGUGCUCACCCUAUUUAGCAUGUGAACAAAUCUCAGUAUGAUGCACAAAAAUUUCUCAAUUGGAAUCUCCUUGAUCUAAACAUAACAAUUUCACCAAAUCCAACAACACAAUUCUUACAAUCACAAUCACAAACAAAACAGUAUUUUAUUUAUAUGCAAUAACGAAAA
rnacentral:lncRNA from 1 species